rnacentral:rRNA from 1 species
AGCAGCCGCGGUAAUUCCAGCUCCAAUAGCGUAUAUUAAAGUUGUUGCAGUUAAAAAGCUCGUAGUUGAAUUUCGGGGUCAGUAGGUCGGUCGUGCCACUGGUAUGAACUGGUUUUACUGAUUCCUCCCUCUUGAAGAACUGUAAUGCCAUUAAUUUGGUGUUGCAGGGAAUCAGGACUGUUACUUUGAAAAAAUUAGAGUGUUUAAAGCAGGCUUUAGCUUGAAUACAUUAGCAUGGAAUAAUGAAAUAGGACGUUUGAUCCUAUUUUGUUGGUUUCUAGGAUUGACGUAAUGAUUAAUAGGGAUAGUUGGGAGCAUUAGUAUUCAAUUGUCAGAGGUGAAAUUCUUGGAUUUAUUGAAGACUAACUACUGCGAAAGCAUUUGCCAAGGAUGUUUUCAUUAAUCAAGAACGAAAGUUAGGGGAUCGAAGACGAUCAGAUACCGUCGUAGUCUUAACCAUAAACUAUGCCGACUAGGGAUCGGAUGAUGUUGAUUUUUUAAUGACUCAUUCGGCGCCUUACG